UCUUCUAUUCAAGCUCACAGCAACUUCGAGCACUGAUUAAUGAUGACUAGCAAGUGCUUGCUGUUGUUGUGAAUGUGAAUCAGACCC
rnacentral:miRNA from 1 species